AUGGCACCAUGCCGCCGGGUGAGGAGCCACCCAUUUCUAACGCCGGAGCGGCGGCUCGAGCUCCUUGAGCAGAUCCGGUCAAGGCACCAACCCCGGAUCACCGUGGGGCUACCUUCGGAUGCACUGGAUCCGGACGAGGAUUUUGAGGAGGAGGUGGUGGAGGACAAGGAGGAGGGUGUGGGGGACGCCGGCGAUGUGGAUCCUGAGGCGAAGCAACAUGCCAACGUCGAUUCCCUUCGCUCGGAGUCGGCUGCGAAGACUAAACGCCGUCUCCUGCAGGAGAUGAAGGCCGCGGAGGAGGCGGAGAUGCUCACCUACAUGGAUGAGGUCGAGCAGGAGGAGGAUGACCCGAAGCCGUCCUACCCGCCCGUCCAACCAGCACCCGACACCUACAACAGCCUAGGCGAAUCACUGGUGCCGCCCAUGGCGGCGAUGGUGCCGGACCUGGCGCUGGGCUUGCCCCAGCGAGAGGAUCGGUGGAAGGUGGGUGGCUACUCCGGCGAGGAGUGGAGCACCUUACGACGGCGGGGGAUGGAAAUCCUGCGACGUGCGCGAGAUCCAAAGAGGUGCUUGAGACAGAUGCGGGUCAAAGUAGAUCAGUUCAUCAAUCCGGAGUUGGGCAAGGAAGAUUUCAAGGGGGAUUUGAAAGAGAAUAAGGGAACAACGACGGGGCCAACGUUCCCGACCCCAAAUUCCGCCAAAACAGUUACUGAUUCGGGGGAAGCUACGGUGGGCAGGCCGUCGGGCUUGGCUCUGACCGUCACGCCGAAUGCCGCCUUUGGGUUCACUGCGGCGGCGGCGCCUCCCCCGCUCCGGAGGAGCGGAAAGAGCAAGGCGGCCAUGUUCUCAAGGAUGGACGACAAGCCGAUCGUCAUCGACAUGGAAGCGGCGCUGCGUGCGGUGGCGGGCAAACUUGCGGUCGCCCGGGUUCUCUCGCCAUACCCGGUCGACCCCAAGGCGGUCGUCAACGAGCUUCGGGGGCCAUGGCGGCUCCGAGGAGAGGCCGUGGCACAACGCGUCACGAGCGACGACCGCCGCUUCGUCAUCACCUUCGCGGAGGGUGGGGAUCGACAACAUGUUUUGCACGCUGGGCCAUGGCAUUUCAGAAAUGAUGCUAUCAUCCUAGCGGCUUUCGUCGGAGACAGCAAUCCGGCCGACGUGCGCCUCGAUUCCAUCAAGCUAUGGGCACAAAUAUGGGGCCUUCCAGUACCGAUCAAGACGGUGGAGAUGGGCUACAUCCCGGGCGGCAAGCUUGGAAAGGUCCUCGCGGUGGCACACCGAAACAAAAAGAUCGUCGACGAGCAUCUCCGAGUCCGGGUCGAGCAUCUCGUCGAAGAGCCCCUGAGGAAGACAAUCGACACGACCUCGGAACUUCGGAAGCCUGAGUUCUCCAAGGACAUCAAGGCGCUGGCCUUCUGGAGCACCAUGCAAGCUUCGGGAGGCCCUGGUCGGCGGCACCUUAGCUUGGGAGGUCGCUGGGACGACCGGGAUCUUCAGGACAACGACAACUCGGAGCUGGUCAAGCUGCCGGAAAAGGAAGUCAGUGCGGUGGCUACGGCGAUACAGAAGCUGUCGGUGGCGGCCUCGCCCUUGCUGGCUCAGACGACGGGUGGUCAAGAAGGCAGUAGCAUGGAAUACUCCCCUCAAGCUGGUCAAGAAGACGAGUGUGUACUGGGGUCAGGGGCCGUCCAGGUGGGGCGGCUCACGCUGACUGAUCCCAGUACAGCAGCUGGCAAGUUCGCUUCUGCUGGGACGCAGCCGGAAGCGCGUCCAGGUGUGCUGCUGGGCGGAGGUGCUCUACCUCCGGCUGCGGCAAAGGUGUUGCCGGCUGGUGGUGGCUCUACAGGCGUCCCUGCUGGUUUGGCUGGGAGUGCUUCCCGGCUGGACGUUGAUGAAAAUGGAGCUAAAUCAAAAUGGGGCCGCUGGAAAAGAUUGUACAGAGAGGAGCAAGUGGAGCGUGCUGCUGUUCAUAGUGUGUGUGCCAAGCAUGUCCAGUUUGGGGUUCCCACUCCCCCAAAUAGUGGCUGCGAGUUAUCUAGUCGAAAGGUUGCCUAUGCUGCCAUCCUAGAUAGUACUGCAGGAAGUAAGAGGUGUCGUUCUGAAGACCAAGGCUUAUUUUUUACUAUGAAUAGCAAUAGCUCUGAGAGUUUGGAGUACAAGAGUGAAAAUGACAUCUCUGUAAUGUGUAAAAGAGUGUGUGGUGAGAGGGUUGAGGCUGUAGUAGGUGGAUAUGGGGCUAUGGUUCAUGUAACUAAGGAGAUAGAUGGGGGAGAGGAAGAUCUUUAG
rnacentral:rRNA from 1 species